rnacentral:rRNA from 1 species
GAUGAACGCUAGCUACAGGCUUAACACAUGCAAGUCGAGGGGUAACGAGAGGGAAGCUUGCUUUCCUUGUCGGCGACCGGCGCACGGGUGAGUAACGCGUAUCCAACCUGCCCCCAACUAGGGAAUAACCUUGCGAAAGUAAGACUAAUACCCUAUAAUUUCCUCAGAUGUCAUCUGACGAGGAAUAAAGAUUUAUCGGUUGUGGAUGGGGAUGCGUCUGAUUAGCUUGUUGGCGGGGCAACGGCCCACCAAGGCAACGAUCAGUAGGGGUUCUGAGAGGAAGGUCCCCCACAUUGGAACUGAGACACGGUCCAAACUCCUACGGGAGGCAGCAGUGAGGAAUAUUGGUCAAUGGGCGGAAGCCUGAACCAGCCAAGUAGCGUGCAGGAUGACGGCCCUAUGGGUUGUAAACUGCUUUUAUACAGGAAUAAAGUUAGCCACGUGUGGUUAUUUGUAGGUACUGUAUGAAUAAGGACCGGCUAAUUCCGUGCCAGCCGCCGCGGUAA